GGUAGCUCACUUCGCGUUAGAACAAUAAAAAGCACAAAAAGUAGCUCGAAAUUCACAAAAGCGACGAUUUUUUUCACAACGCCACGAGAAGGCAACAAAAGGAAAGCUAACGCGCGUUAAGGCUCUUAAGGCGUGUUGCUUCUGCUCGAAUGUGAGCAGAGAUAAAUCGAUCUUGCAACUUUGCCUUGCCAGUUCGAGCAGUUUUUGCUCGGUUUUGGCAACACGGUGAUUGUUGUGAUUUUGUCAAGCAGUUUGGCUGUCAAAAUUCUGAAAAUAACAAUCUCGCUAGAAAAACAUUGAAAUGUUCGAUUAUUUUUACUUGGACUUGACUUGUUCCAGUAGCAGCAGAAGAAGGAUCAAAACGAUCGUGUUUCUACUCGAUGCCUAUCCAGUGCGACCAAGUCGUGGAUGCUGUGAAAUGCGGAAGAAGAGUGGGUUCCAGAGGUUCCGCGCUGCAAAUUUUUAAACGCGGCGCCAACAAGCUGCUGUUCGGGCUGAAUCCACGCUCCGGCAAGGCCGACCACAUGCUCAACAAAACGCGCUGUGUCACCUAUAGCUCGUGGCUGCCGGAGAACGCGAUUCGGAAACCUACCCGCGAUCAUGCGCCAGCCAAACUUAAACCAGCAGGUCUUAGGACUGUUUACUCAGAACAAGCGGAUUACGAACGAGAUCCGGCAGGGAUUCGUGGAGUGUUUGGAGAGUGAGCGGGUUAGCGAGUUCCAGCAGCAGGAGGACGAGCUGAACGAGCUGAGCUGGACAAGGAACUCCAGUUGACGUACCUGCAAACAGGCAAGUCGCCCACGAACGCCUUAUCGAGAACGCGUACGGCCUGUUCUACUCCCUGUGCUACAAUAGUCGAAUAGCAGCUGCAACGACAUCAUGUGCCGUUAUAUCCAAGGUCUACCCUUUGAGGACGUCGCCAGCCCACACGUGCAGGACCAGAUGACGGGCUUGCUGAAGUCGUGAUCGAGUUGAAGCUAACCUCCGACAAGAGUUUCGCAGUUUGGGAAUCGGUGUAAAAUUUUGCUGGGGGUGGUGCGAGCCCGACAGUCAGCAGCAGGAACAUGAGCAAACGAUCGACGAGAUGUCCAAUCACCACUACAGUACGACCCUCUCUGGCUGGGAGGCAACACUUAUACACAAUCAUAAACUGUUAACUCGGGAUUCCAAUCAUCUUGCAGAAAAUGGAAUAAAAAUUUAACGGGUUGGGGUUAUUGGGUAGUGUUUUAUUAGAUUUACAUUUUUAAAAAGAAGAGACGAGUCCAUCAACACCUUAGCGAAAAAGUCUACCUGUUGUGGAAGGGGCUGGUUCAUUUAAUUAAUCACCUACUAACGGUCACUGGCGUUAAAGAAAUAAUCCCUUUUCCAAGAAUCCUCCCAGCUGCAGAUUAUCUCCGUUGGACAUCACCCGCUGUUGCAGUUUAAGCUGCAGUUCUUGGGUUCGAAUUGUUGACCAUGAAUAUACCGGUGUUGGCUAAGAAUUUAAGGAGCGGCACUGGUCGUCAUUGAUGCAAUCAGUUCCGUAAUUAACCUCGGAAAGUUGUUUUGCUGCAGUGGACACGAACCCGGACAAUCCGCCACCGGACCAGUAUAUUUCUGGUGCUGUUUUUUUUUCUGAUUUCUUAGUUUUUUUUUUUUUUCCUUUUGCGCGAUCAUUCAUUUUUGCCAUUCAUUGUGUUAAAAAUCAGAUUCAAAACCGGUAUCAUUAUUUAUUUUUUCAAAUUGUUUGUAAAAAAAAUAGGUUACGAUCUCCAGGGCGUUUCACCUGGAACCCAUCCGUUUCCUGGGUGGAUGAGUGCCACUAGACCAGAUGAUUGUCUGGCCCGUACUAACAAAUCCUAGAAAAUGUGCGAUUGAUCUUGUUCGAAUCUGACUUGUUGUCCUCCAGCAGACGUCCCUCGACCUGGAGUUCCCACGAAGCAACGGAACUCUCACCACCAAGGUCGGCUAAACCGGCCACUUCCGUUUCAUUGCUUGGAAUAAAGGUGUUUUAAAUGAAGAUUUGCAACUUGCGCUUUUGCUUCAUUGAACGCUUCAAGGCUUCCUGGAUGUCCACUGGACAUUGUCCAGUCGCUUGCACAUAUUGGUUGCGUCGAGCUUACGCUCCAACGCCAGCAAGUCCCUGUAGGCUUGCGAUUCCGGAACAGAUCGUGCACCUUUUUCUUCAUCUUGAUUGGAUAUUCACUCUUCGACGGAUGAUGACAACUUCGAUUGUCUGCCGGACGCUUGUCCCCCCGGAGGCGUUGCUCGGCAUCGGCAUAUUAACGGGCGGUCCACCCUGGAUCUCGACCGGCUGCAUCGGCCGCUAGUGCAUCGGUACACCGGGACCGCCCUGAGGCGGUGGUGAAAGUCCACCCGGUUCAGGCCGUUCAGCAUUUGCGCAAUCUGGGUGCUGUUCUGGAGCACGGCUCGAGCAGCUUGCGCCAGGUGAUUCGACGACGUGUACCGUCGGAGGGUCUGUCCGAAGGCGGAAACCGCCGAUAGCUUAAUCUUGACGAUCUCUUAGGAGCAACCGCUAAUUGCCGACGAGAGCCCUUUCUCGAGAUUUUUGGCAAAGUUGCGAAUGGCUUGCGACAAUUCGGUCGGGAUUUGACGUAGCACGCUUCAUGCUUCAGGCUGAUUUUCUCUCCUGCCACUGGAUUUGAAUAUUAACAGGUACUUCUCCGGUUUGGCCACCGGUAGCCGCGUAAAACCGUUUUCUCUGCGGCACAGGUUCCUUUGAUCAACAAAGGUGAACGCGGUGAAAAAAUCAAAACAAACUGCUCGAAUGAUUUGACAACGAGAUCUGUCAUUUGCUGUUGACAGUUCUCGUUGUCAAAAAUUCGAGCAGACUGAGCUGCGAAUGCAAGAAAAGGCAACAGAAAAGGCGAGCUAACGCGCGUUAAAGCAAGAAAAGGUCAGAUAGGGUUGGAUAAGGUGAAAUAAAGAGGAGCGAACGCCGAUUUUUAAAAAAAAAGGAUUAUCAACGCUCGACCAAGGCGGAAGUGAACCACCCCUCGAUCCGGCCACCAAAGUGUCCCCCGGCCACGAAUUCGGUUUGAGGGAAAGGAAAUCUUGCUUGAUGGCCGAUUUCUUGCCGGAAGGUACAAUUUCGCUUCUCUCAAGCCGGGGAACCAAUAACUUAACCGAAUCCGGCCACAAAAGGACGCGCUUCGGAACACCCCGUUGCUGCGAUCAGACAAGGGCAAACCCCCGGAAUGAAACACGCCGAAGAGCCCUGGUCACUGAAACCAUUUUGCCCUGCACCGAGCAGAACAACCGACUUGUCCACGCCAAACACGAGCACCCUAUCCAAUACUUUGACAAGAUCUCGACCAACUUGAAGACACGACCGCAACGGCGCUGGUCAACCCGAAGGUGCCGGAGGUAGGGGACCCGGACCGACACCUGAGUUCUUAUCUGGGCACCGAAACAAUCAACUACAUCCGGCGGAGGUGAAACACAUUUGAAGCACCGCUGUUGGACACGAGUGACAAGGACAAUUUGCAGGUGGAGACGGGACUUUUAGGACUCUGCGAAGUAAGGCGAGGAGCCGAACCGAACGCGCACGCACGACCUAAAGGUGCCGCCAGAAAAUAAAACGGCACUCGGCCCAACUCAGGGCUCCUCUAGAAAGAAGAUGAUCAGAGGCACAGGACAACCCUUGGCAAACCCGACGGUCCAGGUCGUAAGCGCCGUUGUGCUGAUAAAUGGUGAUGUGUGCACCUAACGGAUCAACGGCAAGGAGGCCAAUAAACAGACAUUACAAUAGUUCUUGAUUUUGUUUGCACUCCACCUCAAGCAUGCAGGUCAAAUCCUUGACAACAAACCUCGGUCAAUUCAAUCCGGAUGCUGGCUGGACGGGUGGUGACGGGUGAUAACAACGGCAGUGUCGAAUUAAAUUGACAUAUCGUAGUGGUUUGCCCCGAGCGCGUAUUGCAUCAGAGCGGUCCAGGUCCGGAUCCGGGUGCCAAGAACAUCGGCCUUCGAUUGGACUUACUACGCCAUCCAGAUCAGUUCUCUGCGGCAUGUACCAAAAGAUGACAAUCUUUAGCUUCAUACUCAUCCUGCGGAAUGGCCACGGUACCACCGGGCGUCGUCCACGUGUGAUUUUCCGACUCCAUUUAGAUGGCCCAGAACAAGCUCGAAGAUAGCUGCACAGGAGGUGGCCGUGAGUCUGGAGAACACUCUGGUGGAAUUCAUUCACAGAUCAUAAUGGAAAAUCCUUCUCCAGGAGAUCCAGGACCGGUCCCCGGAAACAGUGGUGGUGGCGGGCACUCCAGCUCAACCAAUAAACUCGCAGAUGAAUUCGCUCGAAGCAUCUCUCAUCUUUGCGUGUUGGACUCGCACGCCCCGGCAGUAACAUGGCGCUCAACCUCAACGGAACGAAACCCAAGGAACAAUCACCCAACAGCAACAGAUCAUGAACGCAAUCACUUUUUGAUCUCGUUCACUGACAGGACGCCCACCUCCCAAGCCUCACGGGAUGUUCCGCGAGAUGACCAAAACAAUCACCUUUCCCUUCAACAUCGCCUCAUCCUUGCGAGAAAGUCUGCUUCUAGCCGCUCGACUGUGCUAUACUUUCUGUACAGCAACGUUGAGUACUCCGGAACGGUGCAUUAAGACCACUACGGCGAGAUCCGUACCCAGAUGGCCAAGGACAAACUCCCAAAGCGCAGGAAAGCCAUACUUCAACAUCCAUACACAGAAUAAAUAGAAAACACCCGCUAAUAGGUAAAACCGACAGCUUGUUCCCGGUUAG